UACGUAGGGGGCAAGCGUUGUCCGGAAUCAUUGGGCGUAAAGCGCGUGUAGGCGGCCCGGUAAGUCCGCUGUGAAAGUCCAGGCUCAACCCUGGAAUGCCGGUGGAUACUGUCGGGCUCGAGUCCGGAAGAGGCGAGUGGAAUUCCUGGUGUAGCGGUGAAAUGCGCAGAUAUCAGGAGGAACACCGAUGGCGAAGGCAGCUCGCUGGGACGGUACUGACGCUGAGACGCGAAAGCGUGGGGAGCAAACAGG
rnacentral:rRNA from 1 species